AGACGGAGGGCGCAAGCGUUGUUCGGAAUUACUGGGCGUAAAGGGCAGGUAGGUGGUCUGUUAAGUCUUCUGUGAAAAUCCGGGGCUCAACCCCGCGAAAUGCAGGUGAAACUGGCAGACUGGAGACCGGUAGAGGCUAGCGGAAUUCCUGGUGUAGCGGUGGAAUGCGUAGAUAUCAGGAAGAACACCUGUGGCGAAGGCGGCUAGCUGGGCCGGUUCUGACACUAAACUGCGAAAGCGUGGGGAGCAAACAGGAUUAGAUACCCGAGUAGUCC
rnacentral:rRNA from 1 species